UUUAAACGUCAUAUUCAACAAUUAUUGAAAAAGAGUAAUUAAUUACUAGGAGAAUUUUUUUUAGCAAGAGAGAUGAGAGGUGGUCUAAGGCUUGCUUGAUAGAAGAAAUUGAAACAAUUACAAAAAAGAGACCAUAAAAUUGGGAGUAAAGCGUUAAAAAAUUAAAAAUAAAAUGGAUGCAAUCACUAAGAGGUUGUAGUGUGGACAGAACGAGAAAUAAUCAUACAGAAUAGACCUGCCAGAUUAUGUCAUAUGGUGAGAAAGAAAGUAAAUAAAUACCUUCAAAUUCGGCAUUUUCUUGUAGCUCGUUAGCAUUUAUCAGAUCCAAUUCAACAGCCAUCCAGUCGUGGCGAUGCAAAAGGUUGUUCAAAUUAUCUGCGACUAAAACCGUCAUCAGCUGCAAUAAUCGUGAAGCGGUAAUUUUACCAGUUGCAAAUAACUUCCACGCUCGCUUCACUUGGUCGCGGUUAAUAAGAGUUCGAACUCUAGGAGUUACGUUGAUUCUUCCGUGAUUUCCUAGUCUUUCGAUGUCUUUUGUUGACUGGUUACAAGUUUUGAGAAUUUGCUCUGUAAAAUUAUGUUAUAAAAUUUAAAAUAAAGAUAGAGGCAUAUUAUAAGAAAAAAAUAAGGUACGAACAACCGAAUUGUUGACUGUGACUCAGUUUCUGAGUACUUCAGCUCUAAUCGAAAUUAACAAAACAUACUUGUUUGAUUGAAAUUGUAUUAGAAUAAAUGAUACAAGAA